rnacentral:rRNA from 1 species
AAGUCGAGCGAACAGACGAGGAGCUUGCUCCUCUGACGUUAGCGGCGGACGGGUGAGUAACACGUGGAUAACCUACCUAUAAGACUGGGAUAACUUCGGGAAACCGGAGCUAAUACCGGAUAAUAUAUUGAACCGCAUGGUUCAAUAGUGAGAGACGGUUUUGCUGUCACUUAUAGAUGGAUCCGCGCCGCAUUAGCUAGUUGGUAAGGUAACGGCUUACCAAGGCAACGAUGCGUAGCCGACCUGAGAGGGUGAUCGGCCACACUGGAACUGAGACACGGUCCAGACUCCUACGGGAGGCAGCAGUAGGGAAUCUUCCGCAAUGGGCGAAAGCCUGACGGUGCAACGCCGCGUGAGUGAUGAAGGUCUUCGGAUCGUAAAACUCUGUUAUUAGGGAAGAACAAAUGUGUAAGUAACUAUGCACGUCUUGACGGUACCUAAUCAGAAAGCCACGGCUAACUACGUGCCAGCAGCCGCGGUAAUACGUAGGUGGCAAGCGUUAUCCGGAAUUAUUGGGCGUAAAGCGCGCGUAGGCGGGUUUUUAAGUCUGAUGUGAAAGCCCACGGCUCAACCGUGGAGGGUCAUUGGAAACUGGAAAACUUGAGUGCAGAAGAGGAAAGUGGAAUUCCAUGUGUAGCGGUGAAAUGCGCAGAGAUAUGGAGGAACACCAGUGGCGAAGGCGACUUUCUGGUCUGUAACUGACGCUGAUGUGCGAAAGCGUGGGGAUCAAACAGGAUUA